GACGAACGCUGGCGGCGUGCUUAACACAUGCAAGUCGAACGAAAAGAUGGGAAGAGCUUGCUCUUUCCGGAAUGUAGUGGCAAACGGGUGAGUAACACGUAAACAAUCUGCCUUCAGGAUGGGUGCAACAGACGGAAACGACCGCUAAGACCGAAUUAGUUCCACGAGCGGCGAGGCCGAUGGAAGAAAAGUUGGCGUCUGCAUGUAAGCUAUCGCCGGAAGAGGGGCUUGCGUCUGAUUAGCUGGUUGGGGGGGUAACGGGCCAACAAGCCGAGGAUCAGUAGACGGGCUGAAAGGCGGAACGGCCAAACUGGACGGGGAACACGGUCCAGACCACUAGGGGAGGGAGCCGUGGGGAAUCCUCCGCAAUGGGAGCAAGCCGGAAGAAGCAACGCCGGGCGCGAGAUGGAGGCAGUCGGGUUGCAAAACUCUGUGAUCCGGGAGGAAAAGGCAGAGUGCGAAGAACAAACUGCAUUGACGGUACCGGAAAAGUAAGCCACGGCUAACUACGUG
rnacentral:rRNA from 1 species